rnacentral:rRNA from 1 species
CCUACGGGAGGCAGCAGUGAGGAAUAUUGGUCAAUGGGCGCGAGCCUGAACCAGCCAAGCCGCGUGAAGGAUGACUGCCCUACGUGUUGUAAACUUCUUUUAUAAAGGAAUAAAGUGUGGCACGUGUGCCCUUUUGUAUGUACUUUAUGAAUAAGGAUCGGCUAACUCCGUGCCAGCAGCCGCGGUAAUACGGAGGAUCCGAGCGUUAUCCGGAUUUAUUGGGUUUAAAGGGAGCGUAGAUGGGUUGUUAAGUUAGUUGGGAAAGUUUGAGGCUCAACCGUAAAAUUGCAAUUGAUACUGGCAGGCUUGAGUACAGUAGAGGGAGGCGGAAUUCGUGGUGUAGCGGUGAAAUGCUUAGAUAUCGCGAAGAACUCCGAUUGCGAAGGCAGCAUACUGAACUGCCACUGACGUUGAUGCUCGAAAGUGUGGGUAUCAAACAGGAUUAGAUACCCGUGUAGUC